GCGGAGGUGGCCAAGCGGCUAAGGCGGUCGAUUCUUCAAGAAAACCUCUUGUUGAAACCGAAGCUGCAACCCGGCAAAUCGAGGGUUCGAGUCCCUCCCUCCGCU
rnacentral:tRNA from 1 species